rnacentral:rRNA from 1 species
GACGAACGCUGACGGCGUGCUUAACACAUGCAAGUCGAACGGUAAGGCCCUUCGGGGUACACGAGUGGCGAACGGGUGAGUAACACGUGGGUGAUCUGCCCUGCACUUCGGGAUAAGCCUGGGAAGCUGGGUCUAAUACCGGAUAGGACUCCGGACUGCAUGGUCUGGGGUGGAAAGCUUUUGCGGUGUGGGAUGGGCCCGCGGCCUAUCAGCUUGUUGGCGGGGUGAGGGCCUACCAAGGCGACGACGGGUAGCCGGCCUGAGAGGGUGACCGGCCACACUGGGACUGAGAUACGGCCCAGACUCCUACGGGAGGCAGCAGUGGGGAAUAUUGCACAAUGGGCGCAAGCCUGAUGCAGCGACGCCGCGUGAGGGAUGACGGCCUUCGGGUUGUAAACCUCUUUCAGCAUCGACGAAGCGAAAGUGACGGUAGGUGCAGAAGAAGGACCGGCCAACUACGUGCCAGCCGCCGCGGUAA